rnacentral:rRNA from 1 species
GACGAACGCUGGCGGCGUGCUUAACACAUGCAAGUCGAACGGAAAGGCCCUGCUUUUGUGGGGUGCUCGAGUGGCGAACGGGUGAGUAACACGUGAGUAACCUGCCCUUGACUUUGGGAUAACUUCAGGAAACUGGGGCUAAUACCGGAUAGGAGCUCCUGCUGCAUGGUGGGGGUUGGAAAGUUUCGGCGGUUGGGGAUGGAAUGGCGGCUUAUCAGCUUGUUUGUGGGGUAGUGGCUUACCAAGGCUUUGACGGGUAGCCGGCCUGGGAGGGUGACCGGCCACAUUGGGCCUGAGAUACGGCCCAGACUCCUACGGGCGGCAGCAGUGGGGAAUAUUGCACAAUGGGCGGAAGCCUGAUGCAGCAACGCCGCGUGCGGGAUGACGGCCUUCGGGUUGUAAACCGCUUUCGCAUGUGACGAAGCGUGAGUGACGGUAAUGGGUAAAGAAGCACCGGCUAACUACGUG